rnacentral:rRNA from 1 species
ACCUACGGGACGCAGCAGUGGGGGAUAUUGCACAAUGGGGGAAACCCUGAUGCAGCGACGCCGCGUGGGCGAAGAAGUAUUUCGGUAUGUAAAGCCCUAUCAGCAGGGAAGAAGUAAUGACGGUACCUGAGUAAGAAGCACCGGCUAAAUACGUGCCAGCAGCCGCGGUAAUACGUAUGGUGCAAGCGUUAUCCGGAUUUACUGGGUGUAAAGGGAGCGCAGGCGGCACGGCAAGCCUGAUGUGAAAGCCCGCGGCCCAACCGCGGGACUGCAUUGGGAACUACCGGGCUGGAGUGCCGGAGCGG